rnacentral:rRNA from 1 species
GACGAACGCUGGCGGCGUGCUUAACACAUGCAAGUCGAACGGAAAGGCCCUGCUUUUGUGGGGUGCUCGAGUGGCGAACGGGUGAGUAACACGUGAGUAACCUGCCCUUGACUUUGGGAUAACUUCAGGAAACUGGGGCUAAUACCGGAUAGGAGCUCCUGCUGCAUGGUGGGGGUUGGAAAGUUUCGGCGGUUGGGGAUGGACUCGCGGCUUAUCAGCUUGUUGGUGGGGUAGUGGCUUACCAAGGCUUUGACGGGUAGCCGGCCUGAGAGGGUGACCGGCCACAUUGGGACUGAGAUACGGCCCAGACUCCUACGGGAGGCAGCAGUGGGGAAUAUUGCACAAUGGGCGGAAGCCUGAUGCAGCAACGCCGCGUGCGGGAUGACGGCCUUCGAGUUGAAAACCGCUUUCGCCUGUGACGAAGCGUGAGUGACGGUAAUGGGUAAAGAAGCACCGGCUAACUACGUG